CGUUGCUCGUCCAGUCGUCCUCCAGAUCUCCCUCCUCCAUGUCGUCCCUCUCCUCCACAUUCCCCUCUUUUUCUCUCUCCAUGGCCGCCGUCGGGCCGUGCCCCUGCCACCAACACGCGCGCGCGGAUGCAGGCGGGAGGAGGCACUUGGCUUGAGCAGGGCUGGUUUUCGCUGCGCUGCUGCUCCGUCGGCAUGGGUUGUCGUCGUGCUCCCCUCCUCUGCGGGCCGUCACCUGAAGGUCGCUGUUGCCGGCGACGAGGACCAAUGGGAGGUCGCCACCGCCACGGAUCUGCUCCCCAUUCCCCUUGACCGUCGGUCUCCUGCUCCACCCCUCUCCCUGAUCCCCUUCCCUCUCGUGCACGCCGCCUCAACUGAUGAUUAGAUGCGCCUUCUGUCCUUCGUGUUUGGUCUGAGCAGUGGGUUGCAGCACUCGUGAUUCAGCUUGUUUCGGGGAUGGAAUGAAUUGGGCAUCAGCAUCUCACACACACACCGAGGAUGAUUAUGUUUAUUACGUCAACCAUGUAGUAGAAACCAGAGAGAACUAAACAGCCCACCCUCUGGGUUUGACAUGUGCUGAAGAAAAUACAGUUUUGGUUUUCAGGCAUGUCAUUCAAUGUCCGCUUAAAAUUUCCUGUAUUGUGACAGCGCCAUGCAACUACUACCUUGCUAUUAAGCUCGAGUGGAUGUCAUGAUCAAGAGUUCAAGACUGAGAUAUUCUACUGAAAACCAGCUGGCGUCUUUUAGAUGUUGGGCGCCACGAUGAAAAUUGGAUUUGUUUAGUGUCCACAACUCUAGACAUGGAUCUCAUCUACCUCGUUUAUAUGGUAAUGGUUCAAGGGUUAAAUUUCUGUUCUUGGUAAUUUGUUGAGUAUGUCUAUCUGAUGGGCAUUGAAGUUGUAGGUUUUUUGUAUUCUGAUUCGGUUAAGAUAAUUAAAGAAUGAUUGUUACUUCACCUACUAAUGUGUGGUUCAGUGUAGGGGUAUAUAUGGUACAGCGACAAGUUUCUAGGUGCCGAAUCAGGAUGGAUUAUAAUGGCGCAUAUGCAUUUUCAGUUUCCUCUCGCUUUUGUGUUCAAUCUUAUGCAUUUUUUACCUACUAGGACUGAUUGAGGUCUAUGAGAUACUUUUUUGCAGAUCAUCAGAAAGGCCUCCCGGUUCCAUUAUCAUGAACACCAAGUUACAGAAGUUCAAGGAUUACAGCAAAAAGAAGCAAACUAGAGUUCAGAUAGCAGGGGAAUGAAAAGCUACAGGUCCAAGGCCUGGCCAAAACACAAAGCCAGUAACAAUGAGAUAUGGUUGCGGGCAUAUGAGUAUUAAAACCUUAUUAUGUUUCUCUGAUUAUUUAGAACAGUUACAUAUGUUUUGAGGGAUGAGAUUAGAUGUAAUUUUGUGAUCAAUCACGUAGUUCUGAAAUGACCAAUCAUAUUCUUCAACUUGCAGUUUGGGUACGGACUACAUUUUAAUUUCUUUGGAAAGUGCUUUCACUGCUUCUAAUAUCUAAUUCCAAAAGAAAGGUAUGUGUCUCCAACUAAUGUUGUUUCUUGAUGUGGUUUCCUAAACUGAAGCACGAGUCGGGUUGGUAGACGGCGGGGUGCCAUCCAACUAGGGGCAAAGACAUGGGCGCCAGUUCCAUCCUUUUUCCUCCGUUUAUUGAUUUUUUUCCUUUUCCUUUUACCUCUUGUUAAUCCUUUACCAGCAGCAAUCGCAGAUUUAACACAGUGUUCCUUCCUUGAUGUCUAUUGUUUUGUAGGCACUGAUCUCAGUAUGAAUUGCCGCAUAGGGUCACCGGUGGUGGAUGUUGUUAACAAGUACAUGAUUUUUCUUAUUCUUCAUGUCUUUCUAUUUGUAGAAGAAUCAAGUCCAUUGACACAACAUGAAAUGGAGCAGCAAAGAACAAAUGGUUGCUUGAUGUUCCCAGAUUAGCUACAUAGUUGUGGAUGUCGCUGAUGUGUGCUAAUUCUUUAUGCGCUUGAUCCUAUUGAACUGUUGUGUUGAUAUGUUAAUUUACUUAUAUAAACUAUGUGAUAAGAUUUCUCAUGGUGUGUGCAUUUUGAAGUUACCUCAUCAAUAUUGGAUACUCAUAUUUGUGCACUUAGGUGUUGUAGUCACUGAGUCAGCAAUUACCGACGUGCUCUAAACUAUUAACAAAUUUAUUGUAUGGAGAAAAGUGACAAGUCUAAAACAGAGAAUGAUCUUUUUGGGUACAAGAGAGUUCUUGUGGAUGAAACUCAUCUGGUUUCUAUUGGUCGCCUUCCAGUUAUGGUUAAUUCAAAUUUAUGUUGGUUGCAUGAACUCAGGGAAAGUGAUUGCCUUUUUUAUUCUGGUGGACACUUUUUGAUCAGGGGAAUGGAGAAGCAAUGAGGGACGUGAAAAGCAUAAAUGGUGCAGACAAUGUUAUACAAAUAUGCAUGCAUUGGAAGGCUGGUUAGCGACAGAUCUGUAGUACUGAUUGCUCUCUGUUUGAGAUAUCAAACAUUUCAUUCCUCGUGUUGUUUUGAUGCCGAUGCUUAUGUGGUUGCAUAUUGACUUGCGAUAUGUUGAGCAGAUCACUGUCUCAAGGAAUGAUCAAUUAGGACAAGCGUGUUUCCACCAAAAGAGGAAGCCGUUUGGGCCUUUUACUGAGGGAUAUAUUUCUUACUUUUGAUCCUCACCAAUAAUCUCAGGAGAGGCAAGGGUCGCUCGACUAGAUCGUGAAGACACUUUAGAUGGAGGCCUGAUCGUCGCUGCUCCUCUGGUUGUUGCAGUUUUAAGGGCUUAGACAGAUCGUCUGGAACUGGGGAGCUCUCUUCUCUAUUUGCCAAUGUCUUUUACUUUUUUAAUAGAAGCUGUCAUUCAUCGCCUGUAGACUGAUUGUCAACGACCGCCGCCACCUGUCAGAGACGUUAGCUCAACCUUACCCUGCGAGGAACUGUACCUCCACUUUUGGACAGAAUCUCUAAUGAUUUGGGUUACCAUUGAGGGAUUCGACCUACUACUUUAUGAUCAUUGAUUAACAAGGUCCUCAGUUAUACAUGCACUAGUGGUUGGGGUGCCACCGGGUGGCGCCGCUUGAGGCGUGCAUGUCCGGUGCCAGGCAUGGAAGAUGAAAUCAGAUGGAGAUGGUGUUCACCAGGAGCUUAGGCCCGUUGAACCGGCCCUGAUGACGCCAAAUGUAAAGAGGGGCACAACCGCAUCAGGCCUGCUUGUGUAGACUGCCACAACUGU